GAUGAACGCUGGCGGCGUGCCUAAUACAUGCAAGUCGAGCGAACAGACGAGGAGUUUGUUCCUCUGACGUUAGCGGCGGACGGGUGAGUAACACGUGGAUACCCUCCUUAUAAGACUGGGAUAACUUCGGGAAACCGGAGCUAAUACGGGAUAAUUUAUUGAACCGCAUGGUUCAUUAGUGAAAGACGGUUUUGCUGUCCCUAAUAGAUGGAUCCGCGCCGCAUUAGCUAGUUGGUAAGGUAACGGCUUACCAAGGCAACGAUGCGUAGCCGACCUGAGAGGGUGAUCGGCCACACUGGAACUGAGACACGGUCCAGACUCCUACGGGAGGCAGCAGUAGGGAAUCUUCCGCAAUGGGCGAAAGCUUGACGGAGCAACGCCGCGUGAGUGAUGAAGGUCUUCGGAUCGUAAAACUCUGUUAUUAGGGAAGAACAAAUGUGUAAGUAACUAUGCACGUCUUGACGGUACCUAAUCAGAAAGCCACGGCUAACUACGUG
rnacentral:rRNA from 1 species